rnacentral:rRNA from 1 species
GACGAACGCUGGCGGCGUGCUUAACACAUGCAAGUCGAGCGGUAAGGCACUUCGGUGUACACGAGCGGCGAACGGGUGAGUAACACGUGAGUAAUCUGCCCUUCACUUUGGGAUAAGCCUCGGAAACGGGGUCUAAUACCGGAUACGACCACUCCAGGCAUCUGGUGGUGGUGGAAAGUUUUUUCGGUGGGGGAUGUGCUCGCGGCCUAUCAGCUUGUUGGUGGGGUAAUGGCCUACCAAGGCUUCGACGGGUAGCCGGCCUGAGAGGGUGACCGGCCACACUGGGACUGAGACACGGCCCAGACUCCUACGGGAGGCAGCAGUGGGGAAUAUUGGACAAUGGGCGGAAGCCUGAUCCAGCAACGCCGCGUGAGGGAUGAAGGCCUUCGGGUUGUAAACCUCUUUCAGUAGGGACGAAGCGCAAGUGACGGUACCUACAGAAGAAGCACCGGCCAACUACGUGCCAGCAGCCGCAGU